GCUGUGUAAAUAUCUUUCGUCCUUAGUUGUGCAUCUCAAUGUACACUAGCAGUAUAUCACUUGAGGUUAGUUUCUUUCUCUUUUUCAAUUCCAUUGUUUGUUUUUUCUAGUGUCCAAGUGUUCCGUUUUUAAUUUUCAGGACAGGUGGACGCCAAUUUUACUUAGGGGUUUUUGCUGAGCUCUCCAGAACAAUACUGUGAUGAAACCCUAUCUACUUGCCAGUUAAAUUCCAUUGCACCACUCCCUCCAUUGGGAAAACUACAAAUGCAAGCUGGAAAACAUUUGGAAUUCCACACCAGCUGUAAAAGAACUUUGAUCUACAUGUCAAGCAACCCAAGGACGGCAUCAGUCUGGGCGAGCCAUUUCUAAAGAACACACCAAGGUUCCAAGCCCGGGCGUUGAAAUUACUUCCCUUCUGGCGGGGACCAUCGUCAGGGACGCGACCAUGCACUGAUAAGUGCCAGGCUCGUGGCGCUCCAGGAUGGUUUGGAGUUCACGCUACAGGACAGGAUCUCCGUUGCGCAGGAUAUACAUGCAGUCAGUACAGCCAGGUGAGUAAGCUGUCGCACCAACCCAACUGGC